UGGCUGAGUGGUAAAGCGCUUGGCUUCUGAGCUGGGAUCCCAGGUUCAAAUCCUGG
rnacentral:tRNA from 1 species